rnacentral:rRNA from 1 species
AUUGAACGCUGGCGGCAUGCCUUACACAUGCAAGUCGAACGGCAGCACGGGUGCUUGCACCUGGUGGCGAGUGGCGAACGGGUGAGUAAUACAUCGGAACGUACCUUAUCGUGGGGGAUAACGCAGCGAAAGUUGCGCUAACACCGCAUACGCCCUGAGGGGGAAAGCGGGGGACCGUAAGGCCUCGCGCGAUUAGAGCGCCCGAUGUCUGAUUAGCUUGUUGGUGCGGUAAAAGCUCACCAAGGCGAUGAUCAGGAGCUGGUCUGAGAGGACGAUCAGCCACACUGGGACUGAGACACGGCCCAGACUCCUACGGGAGGCAGCAGUGGGGAAUUUUGGACAAUGGGGGCAACCCUGAUCCAGCAAUGCCGCGUGAGUGAAGAAGGCCUUCGGGUUGUAAAGCUCUUUUGUCAGGGAAGAAACAGCAGCUCUAACACAGUCUGCGAAUGACGGUACCUGAAGAAUAAGCACCGGCUAACUACGUGGCAGCCGCCGCUGUAA